rnacentral:tRNA from 1 species
GGGCCCGUAGCUCAGCUGGUUAGAGCGCACGCCUGAUAAGCGUGAGGUCGAUGGUUCGAGUCCAUUUAGGCCCA